rnacentral:lncRNA from 1 species
GAGCCUGCUGGAUCCCUAGUCCCCAGGUUCUAGGACUUUGAGCUUUAACUUGGCAAUUAAUGCCAGGGUCUACAGCCAGCUCCUCUCCUCCCAUGCCAAGGUCAGAUGGCUGAUCGGAAUGUCCUUUGUUUACCAUCCUGAAUGCUCUCCCUUCUACUUUCAGCCUCGGAAGAGUUUUGUCCAUCAAGGUUAUAGAUCAACCGGGAGGAAAGCAUUCUUCGAAAACCCCAGAUGAAGGAGGACCACAGAGGCAAGUGGAGACUGGUGCGCCAGAAGUCAGUUUCAGAAGCAAAGAGUGAAGAAAUAUAUGAAGACCUGUACAGUGGAGACAGCAGCCAACCCCCAAUGGAGUGAGUGAGUCUCUUGUCCUCCUUGCCUGGGCCUGGCCUUUGUAGACAAGCUGGGAAAGAGCAGACUACAGGGGCAGGGAUGAG